CCUCGUCUCCUCUCUUCUCCACGUGAAACGCCCACCACUUUCCUCCUGCAUCUUAGCCGCCUUUCUAUUUGUCCAACUUCCAGGGCACAUGCAUUCCAAACCCUGACUCUGAACUGACUUAACUCAGGUUUUGCAAUGCUGCCUAAAUUUAGCCUGCAGUAUAUUUAGUAUGUUAUUCUUAGAGAAACCUUUAAAGUCUUCAGCAGCACACGGCAACUGCGGUCACUCGAAGCCCUUUGAUCCUGCCCUGUUACAGUCCUCCAGUGACUCCUGCACACCAGCUCUCUGGCAGCACCUUUGCCAGAAACCCCAGCAGGGAGGAAGCCUCUCAGCCCAACGACCCACCCAUGAGGUAAACGGGGGAGAGGGGAACGUCUCCAACAGCGCUGGAGAUGGGAGAAGCCCCACGGGGGAGCUGCUCCAACCACCCCAACGGACAGACUGAAGGAAACAGAUGGAAGGAGAAAGCUCUGGGCUGAAGAAGGCCAAGUGCCGUGGACCGACUUCGCGGGGUGGACUCGAGACUGCUGAGGGACAGCAGCACCCGCAAGAGAACCUUAGUGGGACGACGGGGAGUCUCAAAACCGACCGGACGCUGCUGAUGCUCAGGGAUGAGUGCGGCAAGGUGCUGGUCUCUGGACACGAGGCAGGGCUUGGGAGGGCAGUGGGAGCCCUUGCUGCGGGGGCUGCCCUGGGGCGCAUGCACGCGUCACAGGCUCUGGGCGUGGGGGACUCACUCACCAGCUGGCCAAUCCGGUCCAAGUUAUCCAGGAAGUACUUCACUGAUUCGCCCUGUCAUGGAGAAAAAAAAAGUCACGACUCAGUCUGGACUGAGGACCCUGAGGUGGUAAAUGGGAGAACUCAAUCCGGUGGCGUGAGAGCUGUCCUGCCUGCGUGUAAACAGGAAGGCCAAGUGAAAAGGCUAAUGGGGGUAUGUGUUUUUCAAAAUAAAAAAGAAAUUAAAAGCUUUUUAAAAAUGCAGUUUCUCUAGCUUUGACGCCCAGGUUUAAAUUCAGACUGUGCUUUUCAAAGCAACGGUGAGAACGUGGACUCUGACCAGGUGGGUCCCUCCCUUUGCAGCCGGGGAGCCGGCUGUGAGACUCGGCUCCUGUGGGUGGUUUCGCUCCCGGCAGGGCCGGCCGCUGCGCUCCAGGCUCAUCUGUUAUUUGAGAAGCAGACACGACAGAACAAGUUCCAGCUUCUGGAAACAAGCAGAAGCUCUGUCAUGACGUCACGUUAGCACGACCUGACUUACGGUGCAGGACCAGGAGACUCUGGCCUGGACUUCCGUGGACUGAUGGCCAGUCUUUCUCCAGCCCCUGGACAUUCUCUGGACUGCACGUCGACACACACAGAUCGCUAGCUAGAAGUGACCAUGCCCAUCGGUCACUGUCCUGUUCUCAGAGGAGUGAGUCAGCUGACACAGCGGCUAUCAUGGAGCCUAAGAAAGGUUUAGAGGAUCUUCAGUGUCGAUUAAAUGAAGCAAACAGAGGAAGUGGUGAGUGAACGGGCAAAGCUCCCCUUAUAAAGGGGGACGUUGACACUUAAUUACACCCCGUGUGCCCAGAGGACUCAACUUCCUGCAGGACUCAGUCUAAGCCCCACUGUGCAGACAGGGCCCAGCGAGGAUGGCGGGGGCGGGGGGCCCUCCCGGGGAAGCCACGCCAGCCACGCACUCACGACAGUGGAAAGUGGCUGCGCAUGCGCGCGCACACGUGCGCACACGUGCACAGCAGGGACGUCCUGGACCCGGAAGGAGGAAGCUCUUCGGAAAGGUUCCAGAUGAGAGCGUGGGCUCGUAUGACGCCAUGUGGACGCCCCUGGGCCCUCCCCGCUACGGGUCUCCGACGUGAAAGGAAGGAGUGGGGGUGGACUUCCUCUAGUGAAGAACCCACCUCUGGUUUCGAGGAGGCCUGUGGCCACCGUGGAGGAGAGCACGGGUUUAAGGGAUGGACGCUUCUCCCGGGACACCACAGACCGGAGCUCGAGGCACACUCGGCCCCUGGCAUCGCAGCUGCUGGGGCACAGGCGGGCUCUGCCCGGAAGCCAGGGUGGGCACCCACGCGCCUGCCCCGCCCCGCCAUCCCUUCUGCCAAGCGAGCUCCUGUUCCGUCAGCACGUCCCGCCUGCUCCCGGGCCGACAGGAAACAGCCCGGGAGUGACAGCGGCCGGCCAGCGCACCUGGUCCAGGGCUCCUUCCUCCCUGAAACCCCCAUCUCUCUCCUCCUGCCACUGCUCACCUGGGGCCUUCGGGGCGCGACGAGAGCUCCCCGACCCGACCCGCAUCCGCCGGGGGAGGCAGGCAGGGCGGCUCAUAGUGCAGCCGCUCCUGCUUGAGUCAGGCUGGGGUGGGGGUGUCUCGGCCUGCCUGGCCACAAAGCGUCCUGGCUACACCGAUGCCCUGGGGAUGCUGUGAUGUGGGUGCAAGGGCGGAACCCCAACACAGGGGUGCGAUGUGGAAAUGCCCCGCGCUCAUGAGUAAGCAUGUACUAAGCAAGGAAGGGAAUCACUCCCCUAGUCUGACUUUGAACAUUUCCAACUACUGAGCUUGAAAUCAGGGUCAUCUCGAUGCACCUUAUGACACAACAAACGCUAAUAUAAAAGGACCUUACGGCUUCCUUCUCCACCAGGAUGGUCGGCUUGAUCAUCUUGGUGGCUUGUCUCACUGCCUCAAAGCGGGUGGCUGUUCACGUCUGUGUUAUCUUUAUUACCGCGGCCGGAACGGACCAGGAUGAGCGCCUUGAUGGGAACACAGUGUUACAUGAGGCAGGGAGACACCAGGUCUUCUGCGGAUGGCUGCUGGAGUAAUGUGAGCUAACAGAAAGGAAUACAUGGAAAAUGGGCUUUCUACAACCCCUCUGUCUGCCGUGAUCUGAUCCAGUCUCCCACGCUUGGCUGAGUUCUGGUCUUUUCUGUCAGUGCCACAGGGGAGGUGUGUGCCUGGAGGAGGGCCCACUGGGGUCAAGAACUGCUGGCAGAGGCUGUGCAGGGCACAGGGCAAGGCCGGGUGGGGUGGGUUAGGCGGGGCACAGGCGUGGAGGCAGAGGCGGUGGGAGUGGUUACCUAGGAAACAGCCUCUAACAUCCACUCUGGGCCAGGCAGCUCUCCAGUUCCCAGUCCUCUGUCCACAUGCGAGUUGUCCCUAUGUUCCUGUACUCAACGGAAUUAAUUUUUAAAUUCUUAACACAGGGCUUGUCAAUGGCGAGUGAGAGGACUUGAAAAUCUAGUUCAUUCAUUUAGAUAUAAAUUGGAAAGACAAAAUUUUAAAACAGCUGAAUAUUUAAAAAACAACUCCAUGUGACUGCAGCCUGCCAGGCUCCUCUGUCCACGGGGCUCUCCAGGCCAAAAUGCUGGAGUGGGUGGCCAUGCCCUCUUCCAGGGGAUCUUCCUGACCGAGGGAUGGAACCUGUGUCUCAUGGCUCCUGCACUGGCAGGCGGGUUCUUUACCACUGAGCCGCCUGGGGAUGAACCAUAAAAUCAACUAUUCUCAAGGUCAGAGUUUCAUUCCUGUUACUUAACAGACACUGAACUUAAGACUUAACUUCCAUUUACUGGAACACGGCUGGCUAUCGCCUUUCUACAUUUUGGGGAAUUCACAUCAGGAUUGUAGCCUCUGCAACGCAGCAGCCAGAACCCAAAUUCCGAGUCUCACUGGGGCCACGAGACACGCAUGUGAAGCAGAUGCGAGCAGAGCAGGAAGAACACCCAGACGCCCGUCACCUGCGCUCUGCCAGCCGCGGUGCGCCUUGCGCUCCUCCUUCCAGUUCAGGGCUGACCCUCGAACAACGUGGGUUUGAACGGCACAGGUCCACCGACACGCACUUUUUUUUCUUUUAAAUAAACACAUACCGCAUGCUCUGAGGUCAGCCGACUGUAAAGUUACGCUUGGAUCUUCGACUUCGUGGGGUCAGCGCCCCAAACCCCAAGCUGUUCAAGGGUUAAUUGCAUAUACUUCUUUUUAAAAACCACUUGAGAGGAAGUUGUCCAUUUACCCCUGAAAGCUUCAGCGGACAGGCCCCAGGCCCCGGGCCUCCUGCGUCCAUGCCCAUGGCGACCCUGGGAGAGGUGAUGCGGGCGUGGUGCUCUCACCAGCAGCACGGCCUCCUCAGCACCGGCUUCCGCCUGGAAUCGAGGGCUGCAUGUAGCUGUCCGCGCUCUGCUGCCUCCUUUAAUCUGAAACACUGAUCUUUCUGAAGAACGCCGCGGCUCCCCCCAGCUGGCAGCUUUUGUGACGUUUCCAAUCUUUACCAAAAUGGUUUUCCAAUCAGUACAGCAACCACUGGUCUGCGGUGGACCUUCUCUACUGUAAACGAGAGUCCUCCCUUCUCCCCUGUUUAUCUGUUAUCCACAUGGACUCACAGAUGCUUGUAUUUCUCAAGGUUUGCUAUUAGCAAAGUCAUAGGACUGUUUGAAUUUGCAGAUCAUAGAACUGCAUACAAAAUACUCAAGAAUCUAUAAAAAAAGCUAACAAUUGAGUCAAGAAGUGAGUUCAGAAAAUUCACAAGAUACAAGCAAAAUGCCUGGAGAAACCAGCUGCUGUGUGUACCGACAGUCUGUCUCGUUACUCCUGAGCAGUGGCGUCUGGUACGGAUGAGCCAUGGCUUAUUUACACUCACUGAUCUGGAGACAUUUCGGUGGUUUCCACAUUUUGGGAAUUACAAAUGAAGACGCUAUUGA